CAUAUUCAAAUAGCGGAGGAAAAGAAACCAACAGGGAUUGCCUUAGUAACGGCGAGUGAACAGGCAAGAGCUCAGAUUUGAAAGCCUUUCGGGGCAUUGUAUUCUGAAGCCUUGAUUCUGAGAACCGGUACCUAAGUCUUCUGGAAAGGAGCGCCAAGGAGGGUGAUAGCCCCGUACGGUACUGACCUCAUUGUAGAAUCUUGGCGUGGAGUCGAGUUGUUUGGGAAUGCAGCUCAAAUGGGUGGUAUGCUCCAUCUAAAGCUAAAUAUCUGCGAGAGACCGAUAGCGAACAAGUACUGUGAAGGAAAGAUGAAAAGAACUUUGAAAAGAGAGUGAAAAAGUACGUGAAAUUGUUGAAAUGGAAGGAUAGGCCGCUAACCACGUAGAGCCGUGUCUGAGGGGAGGAUAAAAGCUGUAGAAUGUGGCUCUUCGGAGUGUUAUAGCUGCAGUGCAUACUCCCACUCGGGCGCGAGGACCUAAGGCUCUGCUAAAUGGUGGUCUAUCACCCGUCUAAAAACCCGGGGA
rnacentral:rRNA from 1 species